CACACUGCUCAAGGAUGAAAGGGGGUUGUUGAGAGAAAAUUCCCUAGAUGCUGUUUAGGGGGUGAUCCAAGAAGAGAACCAAGAUGUGAGUAAGAAGCAAUGUAAGCAGAGGAAUUGUAAACAGGCUGGUGGCCUCCAGUUCUCCUUCUGUCUAAUGAGAGUGAGCAACUGAUAGUAUCUAUUGCAAGAUAUCCCUAACUCACGAGAGGGCAUGAGAAGAGGUCUUUCCUGUCCCCGCAUAUUGCAAAAAUGUGGCAUCUGAGCUAACACAAAGCCAGAGUAUGGUCUUACCUAUCACUGGACUUCUAACCAGUGUACUUCUGAACAGUUGGAAAUUCCUUUGAAUAAGGAGUGUACGUGUACAUAAAAGUGGUACCCUCUAGAGAUUCUAGCCCAUGUGGAAAAGCUUGACGGAUUCCCAAGGUACUCUGCAGAGGAUUUAACUGCGCCAAAGUGCUUUGCCUUCAUCAAUCAGCAAACAGGAGUUCUGUGCAAAUACAUGGGUGUACUCACACUUUGGAGUGAAGUUCAGAGUCCUUGUUUGGCUUUGAGGUGGCUGACAUGUCACUACAAGCCACGUUAACUCCACUAACAAACAGUACAGUUAUGUUAGCCUGAUGCUAUUCCUCAGCUAAUGUGUCCUGUCUCACAGCAGAGCUGUCUAGGCUGGCUGCAGUUUAAUUUGCCUGACAUACCUCUCUUCCUAGAGGUGCUCUAGCUGAUUAGGUUAUAUAUUCCCAAGUAUCUCGAACUAUGUGCACACAUGAAUGCACAUGUGCCAAAGCAAGAUAUACCUUAUGCUCCUGUUUUUAACAGGGAUGUCAGCUCAGAAAUAGUAAGUGUGUAUAUCUUCUUUGCUCUUGUAUUUGGAUUUCUUCUACGUUGUGGUGGAACACGUCAGAAAAACAUGAUCUGGCGCAAGACUGCUUGAAGGUACUGAAUCUAAAUACUAAUUUAUGGUUUUGGGGAUAAUCCAAAGCAGUAUUAUGUUAGAUGGUAUGUACUCUGCUAGAACAGAAAGCUGCCACGUGUCGCUUAGUGAGUGGAAGUGAAGGGGGGGAUAGAGGGCACCUGAUCUGAGACCUGUGGCAUGUGGCUAGGGCUGGGCUGGGAGGCUUGUGCAGCCCUGUGGAUCAGCUAACUGUAGGCAUGCAGGCACUGCGCCAAACAGCAGACGUCUCAGUACCAGUUGUUUGGAGAAGAAAAAUAGUUGUAUAGGCUUUUCCCCCCAGAGGCUUGGAUAUUAUGGAAGCCAUUCUUUAUAGGCCCUUACACAUGCUGCAGAGGUGCCUGUUGGAAUCUAAAAGCUGAGACUAUGGUGAAAAGUGCUGGAUUCGAGGUACUUGUGCUGUGUGCUCCCUCUUAGGAAGAUGGUAUAGAUCUCUUAGAGAUGCACACCUGCUAACUGAGCUGUAAUUUGUUGUUCCUGACUUCAUGAAGUAACUCUUACGUGGAAAAAAAAUCUGCAAUGUAACUCCCAGGUAUUCUUUUGUAUAAAUUAAAGCACCUUAAAUAUGAACCUGAAACAAAAUGAACAGGAAGUUUUAGGAGUGAACGUGAAAAAGUCUGUGCUGAACGAACACGUGCGCACACUCAGAAGUGGGUGGGGAGAGGGGAGGAGAACUGUAAAUGUGCCAAGAAGCUGUGGACAGGUGAAUGGAUAAAAACAACUGAGCAGUUUGAAGGAGUGGAAGCUGGGUGUUAUGCAGAAGCAGACUUCUGAAGUAGGUAACUUUACUGCAGUGGGUGCAUGUGCAACGUGCUGCUUGAACCUGGCUCUGCAAGAUUCCUGUGUGACUACAGCCUUCAGAGCACUGCCAUGCAGUGGUGUGUCUCAGCAAA